AUAUUACCCAGCAUGUUGUCAUAGCUGAGGGUUUUCUCUCUAGUACAUAGUGAUGGGUGAUAUCUAUUGAAGUUGGAAGGGUCACAGUAUCAGUGGGUGGUCCCCCAAUUUCUUCUUGAGCUUUGAUGAAUUAGCGGUGGUGUAAUAUUGUGGAUCUGACUUCAUGUGUCACUAAGAACAAGAGAUUCUGGGAAUAAGACUUGGAAGAAACCUCCAUCCUCAGGGACUUGGAGAAGGCUAUACUGGAACCUGUGUGAAGGCUGAGACAACUGUCCCUUUUGUGGUGGCCUGAGGGGAUUUUCUUAAUCCCAAUGUUGCCCUGUAAUUUAUGUCCAUGAUUCAAGAAGAUUAGGACUGCUAAG